rfam:Echinostoma caproni strain Egypt genome assembly, scaffold: ECPE_scaffold0001444
GGCCUCGUAGCUCAGCUGGUAGAGCGUGCGCGUAUAAAGCGUAGGCGGCAUCCAUGAGUGUGUUCGAAUCCGACCGAAGCCA